CCUACGGGAGGCAGCAGUGAGGAAUAUUGGUCAAUGGGCGGAAGCCUGAACCAGCCAAGUAGCGUGCGGGAAGACGGCCCUACGGGUCGUAAACCGCUUUUGCACGAGGGUAACACCCUCCACGUGUGGCGGUCUGCAAGUACCGUACGAAUAAGGGUCGGCUAAUUCCGUGCCAGCAGCCGCGGUAAUACGGAGGUCCCGAGCGUUAUCCGGAUUUAUUGGGCUUAAAGGGGGCGUAGGCGGUCGUUCAAGUCAGCGGUAAAAUCGCGCGGCUCAACCGCGCCCAGCAGUUGAAACUGGACGCCUUGAGUUAACAAGAGGUAGGCGGAAUGCGUGGUGUAGCGGUGAAAUGCAUAGAUAUCA
rnacentral:rRNA from 1 species